AAAUUGAAGAGUUUGAUCAUGGCUCAGAUUGAACGCUGGCGGCAGGCCUAACACAUGCAAGUCGAACGGUAACAGAAAGAAGCUUGCUUCUUUGCUGACGAGUGGCGGACGGGUGAGUAAUGUCUGGGAAACUGCCUGAUGGAGGGGGAUAACUACUGGAAACGGUAGCUAAUACCGCAUAACGUCGCAAGACCAAAGAGGGGGACCUUCGGGCCUCUUGCCAUCGGAUGUGCCCAGAUGGGAUUAGCUUGUUGGUGGGGUAACGGCUCACCAAGGCGACGAUCCCUAGCUGGUCUGAGAGGAUGACCAGCCACACUGGAACUGAGACACGGUCCAGACUCCUACGGGAGGCAGCAGUGGGGAAUAUUGCACAAUGGGCGCAAGCCUGAUGCAGCCAUGC
rnacentral:rRNA from 1 species